UUGACUUGUACGGGGACUGAAAUGAAACGUCAACCAACGUUUGAAAUGUGAAGGGAAGACCAAAACCAUGAUUCCACCACCACCGCUACAUGCGGCGCCACCGGCACAACAUUCGCCGUCGUUAACUGGGACGACCUCCCAGAACAUCUCAUCAUCCUCCACAUUCUUCCUUUCUUGCCGACCCUAGAUGCCAUUGCGACCAGCUCGGUAAAACGGUGCGCUCUAUGGUCAUUAAUUCCCUCCCUGAACUUUUCCUACUCUGAUUUCCCUUUCCUAUAAUACACCCUCCACUACCCGCCAAUUAUUCGCCGAACCCUGUUUGCCGCUCCCACUCCCCUCUCAUCAAAUUCCGGCUCGAUUUCAUCUACGAAGAUCGCUACAGUUCCAUGUUGUUUCCUGCAUUCGUUAAUGCGACCAAGAACCGAGCUCAAGAGCUCGUUCUUGAUUAUUCAUCGACGAACCCCAUAUAUGGGAUACUUACAAUUUUCCCUUUUCUGCUCUUAGUAAUGGGAAGUUCGAGCCUUAAAGCUGAGUCGAUGUGAUUUGACAUUGCAAACUAACAUGUCAAGUAUGCGUGUUUGGUCGAUGAAAUCAAUUUAUCUUGAACAAAUUUAUUUGAUAGAUCAGAUGGCUUUGGAUUUGAUUAGUGCGUGUCCCAACCUCGAGAUUUUGGAGCUUGGGAACUGUAAUGGCAUGGAUACUUUGACGGUUUGCUCUGUGAAAUUGAAGAAGCUGGAACUUAAGUACUUUAAUCGCAAAGAAACUGAAGUGAAUUUGGAGAUUGAUUGUCCAAACCUUAUUUCAUCAAGUAUAAUUUGGUUCGAGGCUGGGAAAUUCUGUUUUAAGAAUUUGUCUUCUUUGGUUCAAUUUCGUACUUCUGAUGGGUAUAAAAGGGACGAAUGCUGUGGCUACUGGAAUAAGGUUGUGAGGACACUUGAUAAAGUACCUCAUAUCAGGAGUCUCGCUGUACACAAAUUGGUGGGUUAAGGUUUUCUGCUGUACAAUCUCAAACAUUUAGAGUUACAAACGGGAUACACACAAUAUGAUCUUCUCGGAGAGUUUGUCAGAAGAACUCUUAAAUUAAAAUCUCAGGAUGCCUAGUCUCGAGGAAGUGAAGGAUGAAACAAUUUACUGGAACAGAAAUGAAGCUCAUUUCUUGGCACUUUUAAAACACAAGGAAUGGUCUUAGAAAAGAUAGUUAUGGUUCCUACAGAAAGUGAAUGAUGCUCAAUACUCUCCUAUAGUUUUGAGCAAAAGGCUGAAGAAUUGAGGUCUUAGAAUGAUCAUAUCCAGAAAUGGAAUUAUAUACUUAGCAUUGAAUUAGCUAUUACUUGAGAGGAACAACACACAAACAUACUGGUUUCAUCUAUUUUACAUGAAGUUGUGAACUGAGAGCAGCAUUAACCUUUAUCUUCUCAUUGAAAACCAGCCAUGGACGAGGAAUUUUAGAUCCCCGAGCAUUGACCUGAGUUUUGGUGGGGAAAACACAGAGAUAUUAAGACAAGCUAAGAGAAUUCAGAGAACUUAUAAUCAUUUUGGAUAUGAGAACACAGGAUAAGAAUAUGACAGAAGAAAAACAAGAUUCACAGAGUACAGAAGUACUUGUCUAUCCUCCAUAAUUUUCAGAGCAAACGACUUUUCAUUAACAUAUGACUCACCACAACAGAGGAAAUUCCUGGAAGGAGUGAGCAGUUGAGCCGCCAUUAAUGGAUUGAUCAACUGAAAAGGAAUUGCCUCAAUGAUCAACAGUAGGCUUUUCUACAUUAAGUGCUUCCAAAGUAAUCGGAACGACGAUUCCGAGCGAGUGGAUACAUUUCCAACCAAAACAAUGUGUACUUUGAACGAUAGCUCCGCUUGAAGUUGAUUUUCAGAGUUCUUGGUGGCUGAGCCAACCAAACUGAGGGGAAAAAAAUGGGGCCUGUUUGCAAAAACCUUGGGUAGCUUCAGAAGUUUGGGAUUUGGAUCUGGAAAAGACCGCCAAAAGACUAAGAAGCCUGUCCUAACCACCCACAUCUGAAUAUGGUGCGAGGAUGAAAUUCGCCUUCUUAUCUCCCGCGAGGUAUUUGGGACUAGACAAUAAGGCUCUGAUUUUCUAAGAUCGACAGAUUGCACACUAGCUGCCGAGUAAUCUUGAAGAAUACUUUGCAUUUGGGAGCCUGUUAAUUGGUGGCUUAGAAAAAAAUAAGUUAGAAGAAAGAGGAAUGAGCAUCAGCCAUUGAUACGAGCAUACUUCGGCGCCAAAAAAUCAAAUGAUCUGUGAAUGAAACGUUUUCUGAUGUGAAAUUCUUGACAGACUCAAUCCACCUAUUGUAUCUAAUACCAUCGUACUCCUGAUAGCUUUUAACUGCAAAUUUGC